rnacentral:rRNA from 1 species
AGAAUUGCUAAACCUUGUGCUAAAGAUAAACCUAGACCUAUGGUAGGCAUGCAUGUUAUUUCUGUUAAAAUAGGAGAUCAUUGUUAUCAUGGCUUAUGUGAUAUGGGUGCCAGUGCUAGUGCAAUACCUAUUAGCCUAUAUAGAGAAAUCAUGCAUGAUAUUGCACCUGUUGAGUUAGAGGAUAUUGAUGUCACAAUUAAACUUGCCAAUAGAGAUACUAUUUCACCAAUGGGAAUUGUUAGAGAUGUUGAAGUCUUGUGUGGGAAAACUAAAUAUCCUGCUGAUUUUCUUGUUCUUGGUUCCCCACAAGAUAGCUUUUGUCCCAUUAUAUUUGGUAGACCCUUCUUAAACACUGUUAAUGCUACCAUAGAUUGCAAA